AAUAUUGGACAAUGGGCGAAAGCCUGAUCCAGCCAUGCCGCGUGUGUGAAGAAGGUCUUCGGAUUNUCAAGCACUUUAAGUUGGGANGAAGUGGUUGAAGCUAAUACCUUCAAUCUUUGACGUUACCAACAGAAUAAGCACCGGCUAACUCUGUGCCAGCAGCCGCGGUAAUACAGAGGGUGAAAGCGUUAAUCGGAAUUAUUGGGGGUAAAACGGGUGUAGGUGGUUCAGUAAGAUGGGAGUUGAAUCCCCGGGGUUAAACUGGGAACUGCUUUCAUAACUGCUGGGCUAGAGUACGGUAGAGGGUAGUGGAAUUUCCUGUGUAGCGGUGAAAUACGUAGAUAUAGGAAGGAACAUCAGUGGCGAAGGCGACUACCUGGACUGAUACUGACACUGAGGUGCGAAAGCGUGGGGAGCAAACAGG
rnacentral:rRNA from 1 species